GAACGAGAAAGCGGGGGCAACCUCGUGAGUAAAGUGGCGUACGGGUGAGUAACACGUGGAUCAUCUACCUCUUUGUGGGGGAUAACACUGGGAAACCGGAGCUAAUACCGCAUAAGCUCGAGAGAGGAAAGCAGCAAUGCGCAGAGAGAGGAGUCCGCGGCCGAUUAUGUUAGUUGGCAGGGUGAAAGCCUACCAAGACUACGAUCGGUAGCCGGCCUGAGAGGGCACACGGCCACACUGGCACUGAAACACGGGCCAGACUCCUACGGGAGGCAGCAGUGGGGAAUCUUGCACAAUGGGGGAAACCCUGAUGCAGCGACGCCGCGUGAGCGAUGAAGCCCUUCGGGGUGUAAAGCUCUUUCGGCAGGGAAGAUUAUGACGGUACCUGCAGAAGCAGCUGCGGCUAACUACGUG
rnacentral:rRNA from 1 species